UGGCUCAGAACGAACGAUAAAAGCGUGCCUAACACAUGCAAGUCGAACGAGAAAGUGGAGCAAUCCAUGAGUACAGUGGCGACCGGGUGAGUAACACGUGACUAACCUACCCUCGAGUGGGGAAUAACUCCGGGAAACCGGAGCUAAUACCGCAUAACAUCGCAAGAUCAAAGCAGCAAUGCGCUUGAGGAGGGGGUCGCGGCUGAUUAAAUAUUUUUCUUCCUAAUGGCCUAAGCGAUGAUGAGAUCGGUAGCCGGCCUGAGAGGGCGCACG
rnacentral:rRNA from 1 species